GUCUACGUCAAUGCCACCCUGAACAUGCCCGAUCUCAUCAGAUCUUGGAAGCUAAGCAGGGUCGGGCCUGGUUAGUAUUUGAUAGAUCAUGCAAGCAAAAUAUCAAUAAGGAAAUGACAUCC
rnacentral:rRNA from 1 species